GAGUUGCCGACGUUUGUUUUUUUAUGACGCAAUAGGGGCAUCCGCGCACGUGACUCAGAUGAUAUGGUAACUGUUUACAAGACAAUCACAGAGACCUGUUGGUGCUGCGGCAAAGGUCAGCUAACCAACCACAUGCAUGCUGGCAGAUAACUUGCCUCUUUAUUUGGCAGUUGAUUGCCUGUAUCUGGCAGAUUUUGGAUUGAAGGCAGACCAUGAUGGGCUUAUUUGGUAAUUCGAUACAGGCUCGGGUUGCGGGAAAGGGUCUGAAAUACCUGUGGAAUAAAUCAAAGCCCUUUACCAUCGCUAUUGUGGUUGUGGUCGGGGCGGUAAAUGUUGCCUAUUAUGUCAAGCGGUACCAGAGGAGGUAUGUAUGGAGGAAGAGUAAUAACUUUAGGAUUGGAGAGUGAGUG